CAGCAGCCGCGGUAAUACGUAGGUCCCGAGCGUUGUCCGGAUUUAUUGGGCGUAAAGGGAGCGCAGGCGGUCAGGAAAGUCUGGAGUAAAAGGCUAUGGCUCAACCAUAGUGCGCUCUGGAAACUGUCUGACUUGAGUGCAGAAGGGGAGAGUGUAAUUCCAUGUGUAGCGGUGAAAUGCGUAGAUAUAUGGAGGAACACCAAUGGCGAAAGCGGCUCUCUGGUCUGUCACUGACGCUGAGGCUCGAAAGCGUGGGUAGCGAACAGGAUUAGAUACCCCGGUAGUCCCUGUCUCUUAUACA
rnacentral:rRNA from 1 species